rnacentral:rRNA from 1 species
CAGUAGCCGCGGUAAUACGUAGGUCCCGAGCGUUGUCCGGAUUUAUUGGGCGUAAAGCGAGCGCAGGCGGUUAGAUAAGUCUGAAGUUAAAGGCUGUGGCUUAACCAUAGUACGCUUUGGAAACUGUUUAACUUGAGUGCAGGAGGGGAGAGUGGAAUUCCAUGUGUAGCGGUGAAAUGCGUAGAUAUAUGGAGGAACACCGGUGGCGAAGGCGGCUUUUUGGCCUGUAACUGACACUGAGGCUCGAAAGCGUGGGGAGCAAACAGGAUUAGAUACCCCUGUAGUCCCUGUCUCUUAUACA